rnacentral:rRNA from 1 species
AUUGAACGCUGGCGGCAGGCCUAACACAUGCAAGUCGAACGAGUGGCGGACGGGUGAGUAAUGUCUGGGAAACUGCCCGAUGGAGGGGGAUAACUACUGGAAACGGUAGCUAAUACCGCAUACCAUCGGAUGUGCCCAGAUGGGAUUAGCUAGUAGGUGGGGUAAAGGCUCACCUAGGCAACGAUCCCUAGCUGGUCUGAGAGGAUGACCAGCCACACUGGAAUUGGGACCCGGUCCAGACUCCUACGGAAGGAGGCAGUGGGAAAUAUUGCACAUGGGGCGCAAGCCUUAUGCAGCCAUGCCGCGUGUAUGAAGAAGGCCUUCGGGUGGUAAAGUACUUUCAGCGAGGAGGCGUUACUCGAAGAAGAAGCACCGGCUAACUCCGUGCCAGCAGCCGCGGUAAUAC